rnacentral:lncRNA from 1 species
AUGAGGCCCUCUCCUUUUCCCAGCAAGCUGAUCCUCUUGGGGCCUGGUGGAGAACUAGACACGCCAGCUUCCAUCCGCUUCUCACGGCAGCUUUACCACAUGACACCCCCUCCCCAAGGAAAGCUGUUCUGGCCAGGUCCAGGGGAUAGAUGGGAGUCAGCCUCUGCAGAUAACCCAAGGAAGAUGAAGAAAGCUCAUGGGAACCCAGGAUCAGAGUCAGACCACCACACAGAACAGCCAGUGCCUCAGAGAUUCCCCGGGAGUUGGUGAGUCAGGGGUGGGUGCAUGCCCCAGCUCUCCAGGCCCUUCAUCCUCUUCUUGCCUGAGCUCCUCAGAGAGGCUAGAGCCCUGAGCAGGCCCAACAGGUGCCCAGUCAAUGGCUUGGAACAUCUGAGAUAUGCUGAAGCCUGGUCAGAGCCCCUAGAGCUGCCUGACCUGAGGCCAACAAGGGUGCCUGUCCUCAGACCGGGGAGCCUCUCCUUCCCCCAGGAUCCCACAGCCUGAGGAGGGCUCAUUGUUCUUGGCUUGGAAAUGUGGGCAUCUCUCUGCAGCCAGGAUGCUUUCUCCUCCUCAGAAAGAAAAGAGGGGGUUGGGCUCCCUGGUUUUCUGAGGUUCCUUCCGGCUCUGUGGCUGUGUGACCUUGGAGAAAAUACCACGCCUCUCUGGACCUAAUUCAUUCUCUGGAAAACAUGGGGGUUGGAGAGAUCCCUCCCAUCCCUGCCAGUGUGUGGUUCCUUCUAAGAUAGGGGGUGGGGUGGAUCCCACACUAUCCUCCUGAGCUCCCCCUGUUCUUGAAAAACACCCGGAAAUUCCUGACUUCCUGACUGGGUUGGACUGGCCCUGGGCCGGCUGCCAUUGCCCAGCAUUACCAGGGCUAGGAGCUGGGGGCUGGGGGCAGAGGAGAAUGGGGAGCAGCUGAGCAUCCUAGUAGCAGCAACAGCAGCAACAACAGCAACAGCAGCAGCAGCAGCAGCAGCAGGGGAGGGGAGGAAAGCCUGGCAUCGGCAGCCAGUGAGGCACUACAAUUCCCAGCAUGCUCUGGACUGCCACCAGACCACAAUACCCAGCAUGCCCUAGAAAUUGCUUUAACCCAUUCCCUGCACCUGGUGUCCUGCUGAUAUCUUAGGUCCUCUCUGUCUCCUAGGAUGACUGGACAGUCUUCUCAGGGGGCUAGAUCAGACCCUCUGCAGGGCAAAGGAGCUCCUAGGGAGUUUUAGCAAGCAGGCAUGGAUGCCCUGUAAAGUCCCACUUACCUUGGUAUCAGUUGAGGCUCAGCUCAGCCACUAACCUGCUGUGUGACCUUGGGAAAAUCCCUUUCUCUCUCUGAGCUUCAAUGUUAUUCUGUAAAAUGAAAGGAUUUUUUUGUAAGACAAUCUCUAAGACUCCUUCAAGCUCUGAGAUUUUAGUUUCCUUCUUUAAAAUGAUGAUUAAAACAACAACAGCUCUAAGUAAAGAAGAUUUAUUUUCUGAAGUGUUCUUUCUGGCAGGAUCUAAAGGAACUUCUCCUUCAUUUAGCAUCAUAGCCCAUCUCCAGCCCUCUUUCCAUUGUCCCCUCCACACUCAGUGUGUCUGGCUUCCCAAUCAUUUCUAGAAAGGACUUGGUUAAAAGGAGCUGUGGUACUCUCAUCAAAUUUGUGAAGGACUCAGAGCUAGGAGGGACAUACUGAAGGAUAGGACUCCCAACAAUCUCGAGAGGAAUAAGAUUUAAUAUGAAGUCUUACACUUGGGUUCCCCCAUCUCAAACCUUCAAAAUACAAGAUGGGGGGAGACAGCAGAUCAUCUGAAGAAGAUCUGGGAGGACUGCAAACUUGAUAGGAACCAACAAAGUGACAUAGCAUCCAGGUAAGAUAAGGUGGCCUUAGACCGCCCUGUGAGAUGCAGAGUAGCCAAGAACAGGAAGGCCAUGGUCUCACUGCCCCCUGGCAGUGCUCAUUUCUGCGUGUCAUGUUUUAGGAAGGCAGUGGACAUCUAGGAGAGGGUCUUGAGUACAUGCCAUAUGAGGAAUGGUUGAAGAAACUGGGGAUGUCUGAUCCAAAUAAAAGGUGGGAAGGGGGAUGAGAGCUGUUAAUG